GAAGUUGCCCGUGUUUUUUUCG
rnacentral:miRNA from 1 species